rnacentral:rRNA from 1 species
GACGAACGCUGGCGGCGUGCCUAAUACAUGCAAGUAGAACGCUGAAGGAGGAGCUUGCUUCUCUGGAUGAGUUGCGAACGGGUGAGUAACGCGUAGGUAACCUGCCUGGUAGCGGGGGAUAACUAUUGGAAACGAUAGCUAAUACCGCAUAACAGUAGAUAUCGCAUGAUAUGUACUUGAAAGGUGCAAAUGCAUCACUACCAGAUGGACCUGCGUUGUAUUAGCUAGUUGGUGAGGUAACGGCUCACCAAGGCGACGAUACAUAGCCGACCUGAGAGGGUGAUCGGCCACACUGGGACUGAGACACGGCCCAGACUCCUACGGGAGGCAGCAGUAGGGAAUCUUCGGCAAUGGACGGAAGUCUGACCGAGCAACGCCGCGUGAGUGAAGAAGGUUUUCGGAUCGUAAAGCUCUGUUGUAAGAGAAGAACGAGUGUGAGAGUGGAAAGUUCACACUGUGACGGUAUCUACCA